rnacentral:tRNA from 1 species
GCCUGGGUGGCUCAGUCGGUAAACCAUCUGACUCCAGCUCAGGUUAUGAUCUCACAGCUCGUGAGUUCAAGCCUCACAUCAGGCU